UAGCGUAGGUGGCAAGCGUUGUCCGGAUUUACUGGGCGUAAAGAGCGCGCAGGCGGUCGUUCAAGUCGCGUGUGAAAGCCCCCGGCUCAACUGGGGAGGGUCACGCGAUACUGAUCGACUCGAAGGCAGGAGAGGGAAGUGGAAUUCCCGGUGUAGUGGUGAAAUGCGUAGAUAUCGGGAGGAACACCAGUGGCGAAGGCGACUUCCUGGCCUGUUCUUGACGCUGAGGCGCGAAAGCUAGGGGAGCA
rnacentral:rRNA from 1 species